rnacentral:lncRNA from 1 species
AAAAUUGUUUUAAAUUUUGGAAAAAAUUAAAAGUUCAGAAAAAUAGCAUUUCAUAUGAAUAUGAUAAAGCAAUUAUACACCAUUUAGUAUAUAACAAUGUAUACAAAUGUACAGGCACUCCUCGACUUAUAUAAGUGGAUUGUUCUACAAAACCCCAUGUAAAUCAAAUCAUACAUAUCUCCAGAAUGUAUGUUAUACAGUACUAAUAUGUCACAAAGACAACAGCAAUAAAAAUAGCUAUAUUAAAGAAUUACUACCCAUAAGUGACAUAGUAAUACAAUCAUUUAUCUUUAUGGAGAAUCCAAAUUAAAUUUAGAAUUCCACACCUCCAGUUUUUCAGAAGAAGAGCAAAUUUGAUCUUUGUUUGUUAAUUAAAAU